ensembl:lncRNA
GUGGCUUUAAUGUUGAGCUGGUGCCGUCUCUGAUUGGUGGAGCAUGUUGAGGUGGUGCAGCCUCUGAUUGGUAGAGCAUGUUGAGGUCUCUGAUUGGUAGAGCAUGUUGAGGUGGGUAACUGCAGUCUCUGAUUGGUAGAGCAUGUUGAGGUGGUUCAGUCUCUGAUUGGUGGAGCAUGUUGAGGUCCCUGAUUGGUGGAGCAUGUUGAGGUCUCUGAUUGGUGGAGCAUGUUGAGGUCUCUGAUUGGUGGAGCAUGUUGAGGUGGGUAACUGCAGUCUCUGAUUGGUGGAGCAUGUUGAGGUCUCUGAUUGGUAGAGCAUGUUGUGUUGAGGUGGUGCAGCCUCUGAUUGGUAGAGUAGAGCAUGUUGUGUUGAGGUGGAGCAGCCUC